AGGAGCCAGUUGUGCUCACUGGAGUCCCAAAGUGGGCUGUGAGCUUGCCUCCUCCUCCUCCCUUUUUUCCCUUCUUGGCUUAGUGCUUUUCAGGGGAUUCAUGAAGUGAGAAGUGUAUUUUGCACUCUCACCCUAUUUCAGUGUCCCGUGUAUAACACGACAAGUGGAAUCUUUGAGACCUCUAGCUCCUGCCCUUGGCUCUUGCAAGGCAGGUGAACAUAAAGAACUUGAAGUUACCUUUUAUUAUUUAAACUAGGGUUUAGUGUGGGUCAGUCAACCUUCUCCAGAGUGAAAAUGCUGCUGAUAUUCUCUCUCUUGCUGUAUGCAAAAGAGCUAAUAAAUCAUCUUCAUUCCCAGGGCUCACAUAGUAUUCUCUGAACACUUUGUACUACAAAGCUAGAAACAGCAGUGCUGACAAUUGUUCUUUUAUUAAGGAUCUCUGGAUUUUUGCUGGAUUUGACUGCAGAAUUUAGAAGGAAUAAACAGCAGGAGGUUUUGUCGCACAAGAGCAGGGAUAAGCCUAAAUUCAGUGCAAAAAAAUAAAGAUACAUACUUUUCAUCUCUGCAGUAGAUAGACUAUGUCUCUAGUGGCAAAGCAUGUGCAACUGUUUUCUAGAACUAUCCCCCAGAAUUUCACACAGUUUUGUAAAUUUUUUAUUUUCAAAUUCCUAUUGGUGAAAACACUCUCGUUGUUACAGCAUGCAUAAAUCAGGAGUUGUUUUUGUGAUUUCCCCAGUAUAUUUUAAAUAAAGAAAAAAACUAUCUCAGAGACAGUGUUGCAAGAGACAGGAGUUAUCUUACAAGCUUAUGGGUCUGUGCUCAGUUACAUCCAUGUGUUAAAGAAAGCCCUGGUAAUGUAUAAAAAUUGAGGGUGAUUUUUAGGUGAUCCAAAGUUCUCUGUAUGUAAGAGCCUAAAAAGAAAUUGCUGAAAAAAUCAUGUUUCUACUCAAAAAGGCUAUAUGAUCUCAAGCUAGUUUAAGGCACAAAUAAUGAAACUUUCAUUCAUAAUUAUUAGAUAUAGGCUUUCCUAGAGGAAUCAGUUCUCUAUCCUUAAGUGACAAUGCCAUAUCUUUCAUAUGUCAGAGCUGAAGGGAUUCCUCCUUGAAGCAUUCAGAGAUCAGACUUUCUUGGUGCAAGAUGGUUCAUCUGCCGUUUCUGCUUUUGUGCCUGUCAAGUCUAACACACUCAUGCAGGAAUAGAAAAAUAUGGGGACCUGCCUGCAUUUAUGGAGAAAGAUUUUUAUUUUUUUUUUUUAAAUGAGGGACCUGGUGGAGAUGUGGGUCAGCUGAUUAAAGCUAUUGACACCCUGUACAUUUUCCUGUCUCCACUGGCUGUUGUACUUCAAGAAUCUCUUUGAAGAGACUGUCCAUUUUGCCGUUUCUAGAGGGCAUAACGUCAGAUACCACUUCUGAAAUACACAGCUCUGGAAGGCAAGGUUUUUAGUUAAACCAACUAGUGUUGCUGAGAAAAAAUAGGCAAGUUCUCAGAAUCACAAUGUUCCAUUCAGGUUCUUCAGAUACUGUAGAUAGAUCUAGCAGGGAGGGCAGAUAUACAACAGGAGCAGAUAUGUUUAACUUCAUUCUUUUCAAGGAUCCAUUGUCUCACACUUUCUGUGAGAUUUCUCUAACAAGGAAAGUGAAAUUACUCUUACUUUGGAGAUGACAAAAUAUUAGUGUAAAAACUAAUCCUUGCUUCCUCUUGGUGCUGCUAAUUCUGUGGGAAGAGACACAGAAAAGGCUGGAGUUGUUUUAUAGUACACCACGUUGGUUAACUCUGUUCCUGCUAAACAUCAUGGAGGGAGAAUGUGCUGUACCAUGCACUGUUCCUGAGACGGAAACUCUAGAGACCAGGAGAUGGAGCUUCAUUGGCAGCUAAUUCAUACCUGCAGAGAUCCCUUGUCGCAGGUGGCGAGAGGUGUGAAAUCUAUAGCUGCCUUCAAAGUCAAGUGGGAUACUUGUUCCAGCCUCUGGUGUUGAAGUUGUGGCUCCAUGGCUUUUGCAGUGCUGAUGUCCAUGUCCACUUCCAUGCCUUUUCCAUGUCUUCUCUCCUGGGCUCCAGUCAGACCAGUUGCCAGCUUCUUCUGCAUUACACUGAUGCAAAUAUAGAGUAACUGCACAGAAGUUGAUGAACUUAUUCCAAAUACAUAUCCCUUGAGGUCUACGGAGCUGUUUUCCACUGACGUUCUUCUGAGCACCUUCUGAUCUUCUGCAUUUUGUACCUGUUUAUGGGAUAUGUGCACCUGCUGCUCCAGAUCCUCAUUUGAUGCCAUUUUGGUUUUCGUGGCUGACUACUACCAAGCAAUGUUGAAUUUUAAGUUGUCUGAUGGUGCUCUUCACUACCAAGAUCUUCCUACUGGGAGAAUGGUUUCUGUUUCUGCUCAUGUCUCAGCAAGAGGUACAAAAUGAAAUUAUCCAGAUAAACAGUGAAGUGCAACAGCCAGAAAAGGUUUCGUCAUCUCCUGCUUAUUUCUCAACUGAAAGAAUAAUCUAUGAAAUCAGUUGUUUGCUGCAGGAAUGAUUAUGCACCUUGGGAUGGUUAUGAUUUCAGAGAUUUCUGAAGAGCUACUGAAGGGCGGCUGGAACUGCUAUGGGGCUGGACAGAGAGCUGGGUAACAUUUAGCACAACAAAUGAAGUCACAAUGGAAAUGGAAAAAAUAAUAAUAAUAAAAAAAAACGUGGAAAAAAGCACUAAUUCUCAGAAAUUGACCACAAAACUGAAGAAGAAUCAUGGAAUGAUUCCAGCUUGACCUCAUCAUGCCUUGUUGUUAUGGAUUUGUCAGAUGAUCCCUGUCUCAGUAGCUUAACCAGAUGACCAUCACCAGCCUUGAGCUCCUGCUCUUGUUCAGGUGCCAUGGGACUGCACCCCUCUUGUUUGGUGAGGCCACGGCCCCAUGUCUGCUUGGUGUCACCUUGGGCUUCCGACUGUCCUUUGCUUAGGGAGCUGCUCUCUCCUGCACCUCUCUGGCAACAGACACAAGGCAAUUCUUCUAGUCAGGCAAGCAACUUGACUUUGCUUAUAAAAUAACCAACCCAAAAUGGUGAGGAACACUGCACUAAGCCAUAUUUGAAUGAUAUAUGUUUUACAGUUGACUGCUGUUAUGCAUCUUGAAUUUGUCUGCUAGCUUAUUUUGAGGCCAAAAGGGGAGAAGAAAGCCCGA